UUUCCCCACCGGGCCACAUACGAGGACGGACCUCCUCGCUUCCUGGUUUCCAGGACGACGAAAUCAGGGCUUGACGAGCCGCAGGUGAGAGAGAUUAAGGCAGCGAAAUAUGAUUGGAGGCUGUUUGAAAUAAAGGGCUCUGCUGAAACACAAGAAGGAGUUCGGGCACGAGAAGGGAGCGACGCGGGGAAAGCUCCUCUGCCUAGGGCAGCAAACAGAUACGCACCUUUUGAAGAGCCCGCAGGCUCUGUUGAUCCGGGCUGCGCUUGGAGCGCGCGGAGAGAAGACAGGAGCUGCCUGGGGCGAAAGAAAGGCGAUGCGUGGACAGAGAAAAAGGAGCACCCCGAAGAGAGCAGUGUGUGUCACAUUUAGUUUCUCAGUGGAUGUUACCGUAAGAAGAAACCCUGUGGGUAGAAGAAAACAACGGUAAAUGUGACACGCUUGGAGUAACCAAGGAGUAAGGAAACGAAGCCGUUUGUAAACUGUUUACCAAGAAGACCGCCGUGAGUAUUGGCUCUGGAUUUGAUCCGAAAACAUAGCUACUAACCUGUGUAUUAUUGAACGCUCCAGGAAGAGGAAAGCGGCCCUACCCCCGAUCGAGCGUGGUAGGUGAGCCGCAGGAAUAAGUGGAUUACAUCGCCAUAGCAGCAGACCUAAAAGCCCCGGCCGUAGUGUCAUCGCCCCCAUCUGCCCUUAGCGAAGUGGAGGACGCUGGGCGUCUCGUGUGUGCACCUGUAGUGUGGUGGGUGAGUCCAUGUCCUUUGAAAACCUUUUCACGUUGAAGUGGUGCUGUGUAUUUGCUGUGGGUUGCUGUGCAAGUGCUGUGUGUCUUGUCAGACGUACCCCGCAUCAUCCCCUCCACUGAGGAAGAGACGGAGAGGCUGACGGCUGUGAGUAAACAUUAACUAUUGUAUGCUGUGUGCGAUUUAAGUGAAAGUGACGGUGUGGGCCGUGGAAGUUGCCCCGUCUGUGUGUUGACAGUUUCAGAGUGCGGCGGUGAAGACCUGGAAGCUGGCAGUGUGUGUGUGUGAGUACAAACACGUACCUGUAUAUUGCUACUUUACCUGUGUGUUCUAUCUGUGGCAGAGUGAGGGGCGAAGGAGUUCCGCCGCCCCGUGGUCUCUACAAAGGGGCGCCCCUGUCUGGUAUUCGAUCGGCCUACGGGCAUUGAGGACAGGGCAGCGCUCGGCCCGGUGAGACGGUGUGACGGUUCGCCCCCCUGCUGACCAGCGAGUUCGCCGAGAGGGUUUUGGCCCCCGGCGCCCCCUGGGGAAAUCAUCGCCGUUGCCCUUCUGUGCAGGCCAGCUGUCGUAAGCCCGCCCACGUGCAUUGUCGACCAGAACGCCGUAUAAUGAACUGUGGACAGUCACACAUGCCCGAGCUGUAAACAGCAGAGAGGUGAGAAGUACCCAAGUUGCACUAACUGUGUUGUUGUGUCCAAGCUGCCUGUAAAGGAAGAGAGAGAGAACCAGAGUGAACGUCAGUAGAACGAACUGUGGACAGUCACACAUGCCCGAGCUGUGAACAGCAGAGAGGCGAGAAGUAUCCAAGUUGCACUAACUGUGUUGCUGUGUCCAAGCUGCCUGCAAAGGAGGAGAGCCUGGAGUGGCCGUUAUUUUAAGUCCCCCCUUUUCCCUUCCCUAUUUAUCCUUUUUAAGUAAAUUAAAUAAAGUAUCUUUUAAAUUAUG